GCACCCAUAGCUCAACUGGAUAGAGCAUCGGCCUACGAAGCCGAAGGUUUCAGGUUCGACCCCUGAUGGGUGUA
rnacentral:tRNA from 1 species